UGAAUACGAGACGCUAAGGCGUCGAAGUAGUGUAUGUCAUACUUCCAAGAAAAGCUUGCACUGUCAUAAGUAAAAAAUGCCUGUACCAUAACCGACACAGGUGGGUAGGUAGAGUAUACUAAGGGGCGCGAGAUAACUCUCUCUAAGGAACUCGGCAAAAUAACUCCGUAACUUCGAGAGAAGGAGUACCUUAUUCUAUAAGGUUGCAAUAACAAGAUCCAAGCAACUGUUUAUCAAAAACACAGGUCUCCGCUAAGUCGUAAGACGAUGUAUGGGGGCUGACGCCUGCCCAGUGCCAGAAGGUUAAAGAAGUCGGUUAGCAUUAGCGAAGCUGGUAACUGAAGCCCUGGUGAACGGCGGCCGUAACGAUAACGGUCCUAAGGUAGCGAAAUUCCUUGUCGGGUAAGUUCCGACCCGCACGAAAGGCGUAAUGAUUUGGAUACUGUCUCGGAGAGGGGCUCGGUGAAAUAGACUUGUCUGUGAAGAUGCGGACUACCUGCACCAGGACAGAAAGACCCUAUGAAGCUUUACUGUAACUUGAAAUUGAAAUUGGACUUUAUUCGCGCAGUAUAGGUGGGAGGUGUUGAUUAUAAUCUUGCGGGAUUAUUGGAGCCAUCAGUGAGAUACCACUCUUGUAAUGUUAGAUUUCUAACUUUGAAUCAUUAUCUGGUCAAAGGACAGUUUCAGGCGGGCAGUUUGACUGGGGCGGUCGCCUCCCAAACGGUAACGGAGGCGUACAAAGGUUUCCUCUGAACGGGUAGAAAUCGUAUCUAGAGUGUAAAGGCAUAAGGAAGCUUGACUGUGAGACCUACAAGUCGAACAGGGACGAAAGUCGGUCUUAGUGAUCUGACGGUACUGAGUGGAAAGGCCGUCACUCAACGGAUAAAAGUUACUCUAGGAUAACAGGCUGAUCUCCCCCAAGAGUUCACAUCGACGGGGAGGUUUGGCACCUCGAUGUCGGCUCAUCGCAUCCUGGGGCGGUAGUACGUCCCAAGGGUUGGGCUGUUCGCCCAUGAAAGCGGUACGCGAGCUGGGUUCAGAACGUCGUGAGACAGUUCGGUCCAUAUCCGGUGUAGGCGUUAGAAUAUUGAGAGGAGCCUUCUUUAGUACGAGAGGACCGAGAAGGACAUACCUCUGGUGUACCAGUUAUCGUGCCAACGGUAAACGCUGGGUAGCUAUGUAUGGAGUGGAUAACCGCUGAAAGCAUCUAAGUGGGAAGCCCACCUCAAGAUAAGUAUUCU
rnacentral:rRNA from 1 species